UCAUGGAGAGUCUCCAUCCAGCAGCAUCUCUGUCUCAGGUAAACCUUCAACCAAAGCUCCACCCACAUCCACCAGCUCUCAUGUUGGUCUUCGUGUUUUCAUCCACCUGGUGGUGUUCUCUCCGUACUGCGUCUCCACUCUCCUCCUGGUGUCCUUAUAUCGACGAGCUACAGGGACCUUCUGUUUGUUGAUGACCUGGUCCACCCACGCUGCGCCAGGAUUGGAUGAUAACUCUGAUGAUGUCAUCACUGGUGUGACCACAGAGUAUCACUUCUAAACCUGCUUUCCUGGGUUUUCUUUGACUGAGACUUCCUGGAUCAGAACCAGCAGAGACUGACAACACCUCCCUGAGGACCUCCAGGUGUCAGAGUUACCUGUUCAAAGAUCUCUGGUUCUCUCUGGAGGAGCUUCUGGACGUUCAAACAUCAUAAACUGGAGGAAUGAUCUGUGCAAAGCAGAAUGUUUCUGACCGAUGCUGCUGGUUCAGUUAUUUGAUGACUGAAAAUGUCUUAAAGAGUUCUGGGAACUGCCUUCCUGCUUCCUCCUGUGUUGGUCACUUUUACCUGGUGGCCAGACUGUGUCUGGUCUCUACAUAGACUAGGUGCAAAACGCCUCAUUUCCAACAUGUUUUAUUCUGUGCACCAUCAGCUCUGUCCUUAAAUAAAGAACAAGUGCAAAGACAAA